rnacentral:rRNA from 1 species
CCACGCUGUAAACGAUGAGUGCUAGGUGUCGGGGAGGAAUUCCCGGUGCCGCAGCAAACGCAAUAAGCACUCCACCUGGGGAGUACGAUCGCAAGAUUGAAACUCAAAGGAAUUGACGGGGGCCCGCACAAGCGGUGGAGCAUGUGGUUUAAUUCGAAGCAACGCGAAGAACCUUACCAAGGCUUGACAUCCCGCUGAAGCAGUUAGAGAUAGCUGUGUCCUUCGGGACAGCGGAGACAGGUGGUGCAUGGUUGU